UCCAGUGUUGUGACAAGCGGCGACCGCGGUUGUACGGGAGCGGAAGCGUGAGCCUUUUGACGAGCGACUGUGAAGAAUGCAAAGCCAGUGCCAAACUUCGGAACCGAUAGCCCGGGCGGCGUGUUGGCACAGCGAGGAUAAUGAACGAGAGACCCGAUAGACAGCGAUGACAGCUGUUCACGGCACCGACACAGAGGACAGAUUGCAGUGCAAGAUAGGAGCGGUCUUCCUGCAAGCCCAGACAAGCCAUAUUGAGUGGUUUCAAAUACAGCAACUGUACCACCAUGACAGUGCAGCACAAGAGACCCUAUCGUCAGUGCUGGGUCAGAAAUUAAAUAGAAAAGCGCUUUCUUCUGAAAUCUUUCGCCUGGUCUUAUUUCGUUUGUUUGUGAUUGCAAAAGAGCUCUUUCGUAGGAAAUA